CGGCGGACGGGUGAGUAACACGUGGGUAACCUACCUUCGGGUGGGGAAUAACCUCGGGAAACCGGGGCUAAUUCCGCAUGAUAUCCCGAGCUCACAAGAAUUUGGGAUCAAAGCUGGGGACCCUUCGGGGCCUGGCGCCUGAGGAGGGGCCCGCGGCCGAUUAGCUUGUUGGUGAGGUAAUGGCUCACCAAGGCUACGAUUGGUAGCCGGCCUGAGAGGGCGGACGGUCACACUGGGACUGAGACACGGCCCAG
rnacentral:rRNA from 1 species